AGCUCUAAUAGCGUAUAUUAACGUUGUUGCGGUUAAAAAGCUCGUAGUUGGAUUUUGGAGCCUGGGAGUCGGUCCGCCGUAAGGCGCGCACUGAUACACGGGUUCUUCUGUCUGGAGACGUUACGACCCGUUCAUUCGGGCUUGUUUCGUGUCUAGGACUUUUACUUUGAACAAAUUAGAGUGUUUAAAGCAGGCCUCCGCCUGAAUACAUUAGCAUGGAAUAACCGAAUAGGACUUUGGUUCUAUUUUGUUGGUUUUAAGGACCGAAGUAAUGAUUAAUAGGGAUAGUUGGGGGCAUUAAUAUUUCGUUGUCAGAGGUGAAAUUCUUAGAUUUACGGAAGAUUAACUUCUGCGAAAGCAUUUGCCAAGGAUGUUUUCAUUA
rnacentral:rRNA from 1 species